AUGUCUACUCAAGACUGGCGGAAUCAGUGGGGUUUACCACGAGGGAUUGAGUGUAAUAAAGACAGUUAGCCGACCGCCUGGGCAUUAUAU
rnacentral:ncRNA from 2 species